CCGUCCCGCGCCGAACCCCGGUGCUCCUGGCCGGCUCGCCCGACGGCAUGAACCGUCGACGACGGGUCCCUCCGGGGUCCCCCGUCGGUCAGCGACGAUUUUCGGGCUACUUUCCGACCCGUCUUGAAACACGGACCAAGGAGUCUAACGUGUGCGCGAGUCAACGGUGAUCUUAUGAAAAACCACGUUUGGCGCAAUGAAAGUGAUGACACUCGUGUCAGGACGAUGGCCUAGCGACCGAACCCAACGGCGUUUGAAAGUCGCGCUGGUCCGCAGUCCGGGGGCGUCUCGACCAGGUCGGCUUCGGCCGUCCCGGGGCGCACCCUGAGCGCACACGUUGGUACCCGAAAGAUGGUGAACUAUGCCUGGCCAGGAUGAAGUCAGGGGAAACCCUGAUGGAGGUCCGCAGCGAUUCUGACGUGCAAAUCGAUCGUCUGAGCUGGGUAUAGGGGCGAAAGACUAAUCGAACCAUCUAGUAGCUGGUUCCAUCCGAAGUUUCCCUCAGGAUAGCUGGCGCCGACGUGUCCCGCCCGUUCGCGGGCGUAUUGGACGCCGUUGGGACUCCGCGCCGUGGUGCGGUCACAACAAGCUCGUAACACGGAGGAUGUCUCAUACGGUAAAGCGAAUGAUUAGAGGACAUUGGGGUCGAAACGACCUCAACCUAUUCUCAAACUAUAAAUGGGUGAGAUCGCCGGCUUAUAACCUAAUGGUGUUCGUACACCGCGCACGCGCGUACGAAGCCGGCGACGGAACCCUAGGCGCUUAGUGGGCCAUUUUUGGUAAGCAGAACUGGCGCUGCGGGAUGAACCGAACGCCGAGUUAAGGCGCCGAAAUCGACGCGUAUUCAGAGACCAUGAAAGGCGUUGGUUGCUGAUGACAGCAGGACGGUGGCCAUGGAAGUCGGAAUCCGCUAAGGAGUGUGUAACAACUCACCUGCCGAAGCAACUAGCUCUGAAAAUGGAUGGCGCUGGAGCGUCGUGCCUAUACUCGGCCGUCGGCGGCACAGUGGGCCCGGGCGUCGCCACGUGCGGCGUCCGGUCCCGGUACGCCCCGACGAGUAGGAUGGCGCGGCGGUGUGCGUCGAAGGGCAGGUCGUGAGAUCGCCUGGAGCCGCCGUCGGUGCAGAUCUUGGUGGUAGUAGCAAAUACUCGAGAGGGGCCCUCGGGGGCUGCCGUGGAGAAGGGUUUCUUGUGAACAGCCGUUGUCCAAGAGUCAGUCGAUCCUAAGCCCGGGGAGAGAUCCUCGUACCACGGGCGAAGGCGUUUUCGAAUCGCCCAUGGGGCGAGAGGGAAUCCGGUCCGUAUUCCGGAACCCGACGCGGAACCGCUCCCUAGUGUUCGGGGCUCUUUUGUCUCGUCCGGGUGACCGGAAUUAACUCGAAGACGCCGUCUUGGGGUCCGGGAAGAGUUCUCUUUUCUCUGUGAGCGUUAUACAUCCCUGGAAUCCUCUAGCCGGGCGAUAGGGAUGCAAGCGCGAAGAGCACCGCUCGUUGCGGCGGUGUCCGUGACCCCAACGCGGACCUUGAAAAUUCGAGAGAGGGCCACGCGGAGUGUUCGCGUCGGUUCGUACCGAUAUCCGCAGCAGGUCUCCGAGGUGAGCAGCCUCUAGCCGCAUAGAAUAAUGUAGGUAAGGGAAGUCGGCAAAACCGAUCCGUAACUUCGGGAUAAGGAUUGGCUCUGAGGAGCGUGGCGGAUCGGGUUCGGGUCGUCGUAGAAACCUAGGCGGUGCUGGCGACACCCCGGCCGUCGCCCGUGUGCCCGGUCUUCGGACCGGGAACCUUGAGGGCGGUCGUGGGCACGUCGCCGUCCGCCGAACGUGGAACCACCGAGCUUCGGUCGCUGGCCGCGUCCCGGCCGGCCGGCCCGCCCCGGCGUUUACUCGCAUGCGGGUGGGUCCUGGCCGCCGUGGCGCCGGCCGCGUAGCCGGAUCGACCGCCAUGUAACGGUCAACUCAGAACUGGCACGGACCAGGGGAAUCCGACUGUCUAAUUAAAACAAAGCAUCGCGAUGGCCCGAGACGGGUGUUGACGCGAUGUGAUUUCUGCCCAGUGCUCUGAAUGUCAAUGUGAAGAAAUUCAAUUAAGCGCGGGUAAACGGCAGGAGUAACUAUGACUCUUUUAAGGUAGCCAAAUGCCUCGUCAUCUAAUUAGUGACGCGCAUGAAUGGAUUAACGAGAUUCUCACUGUCCCUAUCUACUAUCUAGCGAAACCACAGCCAAGGGAACGGGCUUGGAAAAAUCAGCGGGGAAAGAAGACCCUGUUGAGCUUGACUCUAAUCUGGCAUUGUUCGGAGACAUGCCGAGGUGUAGCGUAAGUGGUAGACGGAGGCCCAGGCUGGCGGUCUCGCGGCCGUCCGUCUCUCCGUCAACCUUGAAACACCACUACUCGCAUCGUUUCCCCACUUACUCGGUAGAGCGGAACGCGCGGUUCCGGCCGCGAGUGCUCUCCGGCGCCGGCCGCGUCGGCCCUCUCGUGCCGUCGGCUCGUCGUCGGUUUAC
rnacentral:rRNA from 1 species